rnacentral:rRNA from 1 species
CCUACGGUGAGCUGCAGUGAGGAAUAUUGGUCAAUGGGCGCGAGCCUGAACCAGCCAAGUAGCGUGAAGGAUGACUGCCCUACGGGUUGUAAACUUCUUUUAUAUGGGAAUAAAGUGAGGAACGUGUUCCUUUUUGUAUGUACCAUAUGAAUAAGCAUCGGCUAACUCCGUGACAGCAGCCGCGGUAAUACGGAGGAUGCGAGCGUUAUCCGGAUUGAUUGGGUUUAAAGGGUGCGUAGGUGGUUAAUUAAGUCAGCGGUGAAAGUUUGUGGCUCAACCAUAAAAUUGCCGUUGAAACUGGUUGACUUGAGUAUAUUUGAGGUAGGCGGAAGGCGUGGUGUAGCGGUGAAAUGCAUAGAUAUCACGCAGAACUCCGAUUGCGAAGGCAGCUUACUAAACUAUAACUGACACUGAAGCACGAAAGCGUGGGGAUCAAACAGGAUUAGAUACCCUUGUAGUC